rnacentral:miRNA from 1 species
CGUGAGUGGUGGGGUAAGAUA